GGGCGUGUGGCUCAGUUGGUAGAGCGUUCGCUUAGCAUGCCUUUCAAGUAUGCGAAAGGUCCUGGGUUCGAUUCCCAGCUCGUCCA
rfam:Chaetomium globosum CBS 148.51 scaffold_3 genomic scaffold, whole genome shotgun sequence.